AACAAGGCGUACCUGCGGACCUGCGGAGGGAUCAUUACAAGUGACCCCGGUCUAACCACCGGGAUGUUCAUAACCCUUUGUUGUCCGACUCUGUUGCCUCCGGGGCGACCCUGCCUUCGGGCGGGGGCUCCGGGUGGACACUUCAAACUCUUGCGUAACUCUGCAGUCUGAGUAAACUUAAUUAAUAAAUUAAAACUUUUAACAAUGGAUCU
rnacentral:misc_RNA from 1 species